CUCGAUAUCUGUAGGCUCAAACCUGCAAAAAGGCAGAAAAGCAUCAGAACAACAAGCUAUGCUUGAGAACACUGACGAGCAUGAUGUUAGCAGGAAAAGACUUGGAGUGUUCGAAAAAUAAUUCAAGUUUUCACACAAUGCCCUAUAUCCUACCUUCGAUGGUGUGAGCGAAUGGAGACUUGUGUGCUUACUUGCUAUCGCGCCGAGGUAAUACGGCUAUUAAAGAUAUUCAAACAAACGAAUGCGGUGGGCGCGUGACUGUCUCGUAGACUAGUGUAACCGUUAUCACACCGUCCACCUGAGCAUGCAUAAAAAGGGUUCAGCCCUACUCACCACUAAACCUACGACGUAUCUGCGGCCAGCGUCGCGACUGACAUAGAGGAUUUACCUUGUCUUUCACGUUAAUGGACAGGCGUCACUGACCGCGUAUGCUAGUCAUGUCUCAGCAAUCUAUGCAAGGUUAUGCCCUAGAAAUCACGCCAUAUCCGAAACUCCUCGAGUCUUGCUGGAGGGAAAGCUAAGGUGGAGCUCAAAUUUACACCGAUAAAGCAAAUUAGCGACGCCGCAGUGAUCAUUUCCGACCAAUCUAGCAGCUUUAGUCAGAAGGAGAAGCACGCUCAGGUCGAGGGUUUACGCGUUGUGCAAGCCAGACAAAUUAGCGAUAUC